AGACAGGCACCAGUUGUUGGACCAGGGUGGAUAAGGUGCCUGGUGCGGAUUGCUAGCUAAAAGACGUGGUGUUUAACCUUCUUCCCUACUCAUACGAUCUCCAGCAUGUGGGGGAAGUCAGCAGCUAGAAGCCUCCAUUGGCAACCGGCCCAUCAAAAUUCAUUAGGAACACCAUGAGAAAGGUCAAGUGAAGUGAAGCCUGGGCCUUCAAGCCACCUCCACUGCUCAUUCUGUGUUCAGGCCAGCCAAUGCAAACAACACUUACUCCUGCAGACUCCGAACAGUCUUGGAAGGAGCAAAGGAAGCUACAGCGCUGCUGCAGGACUGGGCUAGACCUUAUCUGCUGAGCAGAGUUCCUGGAGUCUGGUGAUAUGCAUUAAGGAAGCAUUGGCCUGGACCACUAGCAUUACCGUCUUGAACCUUUGCCUCGGCAAAGCUUCCAUCAGCUCAUAGCACUUCACUACGGACAGUGGUCUGCCCUCUCUAAAGAAAGGCAGUAGGAAACAAUGGACUGUGUGCUUCUGUAAUUUACAAAUUGACUGUGUUCCCAAACAUCAAUUCAGGCCAUCACUCAAUUCAAGCUAAAGGCCUGGGCUUCCAAAGUUCUGUGCUGUUCUUCAAAUAAAUAAAUCUCCACAUCCCGAGUGUAGAUAAACAGCCACUACAGGUGAAAUCCAGUUGUGGCUUCAAGGUUUUAAAUCAGAAAUCUGCUGUGGAAAGAAAUGCUUGCAAUCUGGAUCUUUUUUUUUUUUUUUUUUUUUUUUUUUUUAAUUUUACUUUCCUGGCUCUGUGUGUGGUGGCUGCUCCGUGGCUCAAUCAGUCGUGGGCAGGGGAGCUCAGGGUGGAUUUUCAGGAGACAGCCUGUGUUUAGACUGAAGGAGAUAUUUGGGACCCACAGAAGUGAGCCCUUCUCCUUUCACUCCUGUUUGCGAUGUGUCACAGUGGGGACUGCUAAUUCCCACCAGAGGCUAGUGUGUGUAUGUUUUCCAGUCCUCGUGGGUGAGCUUGGCAGUCAACACAGUGACUUAGACAUUGAAUGGGAGGCAUUCAUCAUGUUGAAGUCAGACAUCUAAGAGCAGCAAGUAUUUAUGAUGUGUUUAGAAUAAUAGGAAGUAAAAGCUUUUAUAAACAUGAAUCUUUAUGAAGAAUUAAAAAUUUUUAAAUGUGCUU
rnacentral:lncRNA from 1 species